rnacentral:rRNA from 1 species
UACGAAGGGGGCUAGCGUUGUUCGGAAUCACUGGGCGUAAAGCGCACGUAGGCGGAUCUUUAAGUCAGAGGUGAAAUCCCAAGGCUCAACCUUGGAACUGCCUUUGAUACUGGGGAUCUUGAGUUCGGGAGAGGUGAGUGGAACUGCGAGUGUAGAGGUGAAAUUCGUAGAUAUUCGCAAGAACACCAGUGGCGAAGGCGGCUCACUGGCCCGAUACUGACGCUGAGGCACGAAAGCGUGGGGAGCAAACAGG